AUUGAACGCUGGCGGCAGGCUUAACACAUGCAAGUCGAGCGGAGAGAGGUAGCUUGCUACUGAUCUUAGCGGCGGACGGGUGAGUAAUGCUUAGGAAUCUGCCUAUUAGUGGGGGACAACAUUUCGAAAGGAAUGCUAAUACCGCAUACGUCCUACGGGAGAAAGCAGGGGAUCUUCGGACCUUGCGCUAAUAGAUGAGCCUAAGUCGGAUUAGCUAGUUGGUGGGGUAAAGGCCUACCAAGGCGACGAUCUGUAGCGGGUCUGAGAGGAUGAUCCGCCACACUGGGACUGAGACACGGCCCAGACUCCUACGGGAGGCAGCAGUGGGGAAUAUUGGACAAUGGGCGCAAGCCUGAUCCAGCCAUGCCGCGUGUGUGAAGAAGGCCUUAUGGUUGUAAAGCACUUUAAGCGAGGAGGAGGCUACUUUAGUUAAUACCUAGAGAUAGUGGACGUUACUCGCAGAAUAAGCACCGGCUAACUCUGUGCCAGCAGCCGCCGCCG
rnacentral:rRNA from 1 species